rnacentral:rRNA from 1 species
GACGAACGCUGGCGGCGUGCUUAACACAUGCAAGUCGAACGAAGUGGCGAACGGGUGAGUAAUACGUGAGUAACCUGCCCUCCUUUUUGGGAUAAGCCUUGGAAACGGGGUCUAAUACCGGAUAAAGGGGGUUGGGCGCGGGGGCUAUCAGCUUGGUGGUGGGGUGAUGGCCUACCAGGGCGGUGACGGGUCGCCGGCGUGGGUGGGUGACCGGCCACAUGGGGACUGGGACAGGGCCCAGCGUGUUACGGGAGGGAGCAGUGGGGGAUAUUGGACAAUGGGCUAAAGCCUGAUUGCGCGAUGCGGCGUGGGGGACUAAGGCUUUUGGGUUGUAAUCAUCUUGCGCUAUCGAACGGGUACGUGCAGAAGAAGCGCCGGCUAACUACGUGCCAGCAGCCGCGGUAAUUC